UUUAAAUUAAUAAAGAGUAUUAGAGUGAAAAACAUGGUUUACAUAUAAUUAUUUGGGGCGUAUCAUCACGAAAGAUUUAAUAAAAAUACCCUAAAAGAAAACUUAAACAUUUUAUAUACGCAAUGAACUGAAACAUCUAAGUAAUUGCAGGAAAGAAAAUCAACCGAGACCUUGUUAGUAGCGGCGAGCGAACGCAAGAAAGAUAAAAUUAGAUUUUAUGUUUUUAAACAAAUUGAAAAAUUUGGCAUUAUAGGGUUAAAGCCCCGUAAAAAACAUAUCUAGUUUAUUAAGUAAAACAAAACACGUGUAAUUUUGUUUGAAUAUAGGGGGACCACCCUCUAAUUCUAGGGAUUAUAGUAAAACCGAUAGUGUACAAGUACCGUGAGGGAAAGAAAAAAUAAAUGAAACCUAAUAUUUAUAAGCAGUUGAUGUAAAUUUAGUUUAUAACAACUUACCUUUUGCAUAAUGGGUCAGCAAGUAAAUAAAAAUAGCAAGCUUAACUUUGGAGGCAAAAUUAAAUUGUGUAAAUUUAAGUUAUUUUUAUUUGACCCGAAACCAAGUGAUCUAUUUAUGAACAAGCUAAAAAUAUAGUAAAAUAUAUUGGAGGGCUGAACUCACAUCUGUGGCAAAAGAUGGAGAUGAUUUGUGAAUAGGGGUGAAAGGCUAAUCAAACUUGGAUAUAGCUGGUUUUCUGCGAAAUCUAUUUAGGUAGAGCGUCCUAUAAUUUUUUAUGAGGUAAAGCACUAAAUAAGUUAGGGGGGUCCAAAGCCUUACCAACCUUAAUUAAACUCAUAAUGCAUAAAAAACUAUAGGGCAGACAGACUAUGGGUGCUAAGGUUCAUAGUCAAAAGGGAAACAGCCCAGAUUGUACAUUAAGGUCCCAAAAUAAAGACUAAGUGAAAAAAGGAUGUUUCUUAACUAAAACAACCAAAAGGUGGGCCUAGAAUCAGCCAUCCUUUAACGAAAGCGUAAAAGCUCAUUGGUCUUUUUUAUUAUUAUAAAAAAUAUUAAUAAAAGUUAUAUAGCACCGAAAAUGUAGCGGGGCUAAAGUCUUUUACCGAAAUGACAAAUUUUAAAUUAUUAAAAUAUAUUAUGGUAGCAGAACGUUGUAUAUAUUGAUAAAUUAUUAUCGAGAGAUAAUAUAUAGAUAUUACAAGUGAGAAUGCUGACAUGAGUAGUAUAAAAUAAGGUAAAAACCUUAUCACCGAAAGUUUAAGGGUUUCUACGAAAGGAUUAACCGCGUAUGAUUUAUACAGUCCCUAAAAAGAUAACAUCUGUAAUAUUUGAUGGGUUAAAUUUAUAUUAAAGAUUAAUUUUAACAAUAUAAGUGACAAGUUAUUAUUGUAUUUUUAUUCUUAAUAAAACUACAAUCUUAGCUUCAGGAAAUAACUAUAUUGCUAAUAUACUGUACCCUAAACCGACACAGGUAAACUAGUUGAAUAUACUUAGGUGAAUGAGAGAACUAUGCUGAAGGAACUCGGCAAAUUGGCUCUGUAACUUCGGGAGAAAGAGCGCCUAAUUAAGGUUAGGCAGCAUAAAAUAGGGGGUAGCGACUGUUUAAUAAAAACACAGGACUCUGCAAAAUCGAAAGAUUAGGUAUAGGGUCUGACACCUGCCCGGUGCCAGCAAGUUAAAUGGAGAGGUAUAUGCUUCAAAAAUAAGCUCUGGUAAACGGCGGCCGUAACUAUAACGGUCCUAAGGUAGCGAAAUUCCUUGGCGGGUAAGUUCCGUCCUGCACGAAUGGUGUAACGACUUCCCCACUGUCUCCAGCAUAAGCUCAACGAAAUUGGAAUCUCCGUGAAGAUACGGAGUAUCAACAGCUAGACGGAAAGACCCCAUACACCUUUACUGCACUCAUUUAUUGAUUAAAAAUUUUUUACGUGUAGAGUAGGUAGGAGCUUAAAAAACUUUAACGUAAGUUAACUGUUGAAGCAAAAAUGAAACACUACCCUAAAAAUAUUUUUAAUCUAAUAUAAUUUUUUUAUAGACAGUAUAUGAUUGGUAGUUUCACUGGGGCGGUGACCUCCUAAAAAGUAACGGAGGUGCGCAAAGGUAAACUCAAAUAAGUUGGAAAUUUAUUGUAGAGCGCAAUGGUAUAUGUUUGCCUGACUGUGAGGCGUACAUGCCGAACAGAGAUAAUUUAUAAUUAUCGGCCAUAGUGAUCCGGUGAUACUUUGUGGAAAGAUCAUCGCUCAACGGAUAAAAGGUACGUUGGGGAUAACAGGCUAAUGACCCUCAAGAGCUCUUAUCGACGGGGUUGUUUGGCACCUCGAUGUCGGCUCAUCACAUCCUGGAGCUGAAAAAGGUUCCAAAGGUUGCCCUGUUCGGGCAUUAAAGUGGUACGUGAGCUGGGUUUAGAACGUCGUGAGACAGUUUGGUCCCUAUCUACUGUUGAUAUAUAGAGAAAAAAAAGAAUCUGUUCUUAGUACGAGAGGACCGGAAUGGACUGACCUAUUGUGUAUCGGUUGUAUAAGGUUAUUUGCAUUGCCGAGUAGCUACGUCAGGAAAAAAUAAUUGCUGAAAGUAUCUAAGCAAGAAAUUUCACUUUUAAAUUCUCUUAGUUAAGUUAAAGAACAUAACUUUGAUAGGCUUUUUAUAUAAUAUAAAGUAAUUUAUAAAAAUAAAUAGUAUAAAAGUACUAAUAAAACAUAUAAUUUAAAAA
rnacentral:rRNA from 1 species